rnacentral:rRNA from 1 species
UACGUAGGGUGCGAGCGUUAAUCGGAAUUACUGGGCGUAAAGCGUGCGCAGGCGGUUUUGUAAGCCAGAUGUGAAAUCCCCGGGCUUAACCUGGGAAUGGCAUUUGGGACUGCAAGGCUUGAGUGCGGCAGAGGAGACUGGAAUUCCUGGUGUAGCAGUGAAAUGCGUAGAUAUCAGGAGGAACACCGAUGGCGAGGGCAGGUCCCUGGGCUGACACUGACGCUCAUGCACGAAAGCGUGGGGAGCAAACAGG